rnacentral:lncRNA from 1 species
CAUGUCAACUACAUGUGAAGAGAAACAGAAGUCCUUUAAAGGGAGACAGAAUUCAACUCUAUAUGAGGAUGAACUUUUAACAACUCUGUGACUGAACAUGGAACAUACCACCUUGGAAGGUGGCACAAGUGAUCCUGAACUUUUGCUGCUGUGUGCUGGACUUCUGUGAAUGUGAUUAAAGAAACGUUAGCACCAACAGGGAGGCAGUGAGGAGAAAAUUGAGAAAGGCACAACAUUAAAAGGUAAUGUACAGCAAAGAGGAUAUUUGUGCUUGUUUACUUGUUUUCCUUAUCUAUGGCAGGACAAAAUGUUCCUGAGAGGUAGCGAAGAGUGAGACAGGGCAGCUAACAGGAUAGAUUUAUCUCUUCCAGCCCAGAGUAUGUGCAGGAAACCUUUCAGUGGAUGCAGUCAGAACUCAGUGAGCUCAUACCCACAUAAACUCCUCAAUAUAAGCAAUGUCUCACAACAAAUAUUCAGCUUUACAUCUAGGUAUUUGCAGCAUUAAUAGGGACUGUGAAAUAUUUUUGUUUUCAUUCCAACAGAGUAGCAUAUAACUAUUACUUCACCAGCAGGAUUAAUUUAUCAAAUAUUUUCUGGAACAGAUUUUGAAAAAUCUUUCUCUCUCUACUGUACAUAAAAUGUUAACUUUAGUUCUCAAGCAAUAUUGUUACAGGAGGUAACAUUCUUCAUAUCAAAGGGUAUGUUUCUCUCCCAGAGUUUGAAAUGGAAAACAGGUGCAAGCCUUUUGAUAGCCUCUAUGAGAUUGGGUUAUAAACCAGAACAGUGCUUUCCAAGCAUGUCUGCACACCAGAAUUGCCUGGGGAGCUGCAGAAAUACAGAGGCUGGUGCCCCUCCUAACAUUGAGGUUUAGUUGGUGUAAGGUGUGUCUAAGGCUUGGGAUUUUUAAAAUAUCCCCAGGCGAUUCUAAUGUGCAGGCAAGUUUGGGAACCACAGGACUGGAGAUCUUGAGCUAUGCAUUUCAAACCUGAAGUCUCUGGACAGUGUAAAGCUUAGAAUUCUGCACUAAAGUUUAAGUUGAGAUAAUGAGGCCAGUCUCACUGGAUUUAUCAUGUUGCAAUCUACAUGGGUACGGCAUAAUUUACAUAAAGCCAGAGCAAUUGAUGAAAAAAAGUCAAUCAGAUCAGUGAUGUACACGCACGCACGCGCGCACACACACACACACACACACACACACACACACACACACACACACACACACACAGUCAAUAUUUAGAAGAACCAGGAUUUUAAAGUAACUUUGUCAAAUCAAGUAUAUAUCCCCAAUUAGAGUUGCCAGAUAAAUACAGGGAGCCCAGUUACUUCCGAAUUUCAGAUAAACAAUUUUUAGUAUAAGUAUGUCCCAUGCAAUAUUUGGUAUGUGCUUAUACUAAAAAUUGUUUCUUGUUAUCUGAAAUUCCAGUUUAACUCCAUGAUAUGUAUUUUUAUUUGCUGAAUCUGACAAUCCUCCCCAAUUUUAAAGGCCUAAGCUGAGCACUAAGUCAGUGUAGUAGGACAAAUCAGAACAAAAAUUAACCUUGGCUUCUUGCUUAUUGUGUGCUCUUCUGUUUUCUGAAUUACAUUGCCUAGCUAACCAACUCAAGCUCUACAUUGUCUGAACUGAGGGGCAAUCAUACCUUAUUCUGCCUCUUCUGUCUUCUUCGGAGGCGCAGGAACUCCUUGUGUUGCCUGGAGACGAAGUUCACCGCUGCGUAUUCCAGUAAGGCAGCAAACACAAACAGAAGGCACACCGCCAUCCAGAUGUCAAUCGCUUUUACAUAGGAGACCUGAGAGAGAGAGAGAGACACACACACACACAGAGAGAGAGAGAGAGAGAAAGAAAGACUAUGAAAGCCUGCCAGGAAACCAGAUUCUUAAUGGUGUGAGCAGCAAAAUAACCUAAUUUCCUUGGUCAAUGAUUUUCCAGCGUUUUCUUAAGAAAGUGCUUAAGCCAUUGAUUCUACUUUGAAGAUUCUGGGCAGAGCACUGAAAGUCACACGCCCCUGAACCAGUAGCUUUAUUCCUGAGACCAGCUCCAAUGACUUCAAGAAUUUCCUUAAUGACAGAUUUUAAGUGUUCUCACUACAAAUAAAUAUGUGAAAUAAUGCAUAUGUUAAGUAGCUCAAUUUAGACAUUCCAUGAUGUGUACAUAUAUUGAAACAUGUUAUACACCAUAAAUAUAUACAAUUUUUACUUAUCAAUUAAAAAUAAUUAUUCUCUUAAUUAGACAAGAAAAACAAAACUUUGAGGCAAAAUAGAUGGGUGCUAUUAUUCAAACUGCUCACUUCUAUUUUUUAAAUUGAAAUUUAAAAAUCAAUAUAAUUAAGAUAAUUUCAAAACAUGGAUGAGAAAUAAACUAUAUAUGGCCUUAGGCUCUUCAAAAGCCAAUUUGUAAUUUUCUUCAAUUUACUGAUCCUAAC